GGGGUUGGGGAUUUAGCUCAGUAGUAGAGCGCUUGCCUAGCGAGCGCAAGGCCCUGGGUUCGGUCCCCAGCUCCA
rnacentral:tRNA from 1 species